rnacentral:lncRNA from 1 species
CUUGAAAUAUGAGUAUGCAAAAGCACUUUAAGUGUGUGACUUGUUGAGUAACCGGGUGCAUCCAUCACAAAUGCUUGUAUUCGCGUCAAAAGGCGAGUGACAACUUAAAGACAAAGAAUAAUUUGCAAAAAAAAAAAAACUCUAGUUUGCUACCUUGUUUGUAGUAGUGAGAAAGGGUGAUUGCAGGUUGAGUUGUUACAUGAUUCAAUUGUGUUGGUCGCAUGAUAAAUAUGAUUGAGUUUGGAAUUAUAUAUGGAUAUUUGAUCUAGAGAAUGUGAGUAUGCUUAGUUUUUCUCUAUUUGCUAUUGUUUAUGUACUAAGUUGAAGAUUUGAUGUUUGCAUGAAAGGUCCUUUGGGUGGGAUGAGUUGAGCCUGACUAUGGUUAUUGUCCUUUGUUUUUAUGGUUUUUCUUUUGCUUGAGGACAAGCAAACAUUCAAGUUUGGGGGUAUUUGAUGU